CCUACGGGUGGCUGCAGUGGGGAAUAUUGGACAAUGGGGGCAACCCUGAUCCAGCCAUGCCGCGUGUGUGAAGAAGGCCCUCGGGUUGUAAAGCACUUUCAGUGAGGAAGAACGCCUGGUGGUUAAUACCCAUCAGGAAAGACAUCACUCACAGAAGAAGCACCGGCUAACUCCGUGCCAGCAGCCGCGGUAAUACGGAGGGUGCGAGCGUUAAUCGGAAUUACUGGGCGUAAAGCGCGCGUAGGUGGCUUGAUAAGCCGGUUGUGAAAGCCCCGGGCUCAACCUGGGAACGGCAUCCGGAACUGUCAAGCUAGAGUGCAGGAGAGGAAGGUAGAAUUCCCGGGGUAGGGGUGAAAUGCGUAGAGAUCGGGAGGAAUACCAGUGGCGAAGGCGGCCUUCUGGACUGACACUGACACUGAGGUGCGAAAGCGUGGGUAGCAAACAGGAUUAGAUACCCCGGUAGUC
rnacentral:rRNA from 1 species